AUUGAGAAUCCAUGAUACUAUCGAGCCAAGAAAAGUUUCUAAGUUUAGUAAUAAUUGCCCGUACCGUAAACCGACACAGGUGGGUGGGAUGAGUAUUCUAAGGCGCGUGGAAGAACUCUCUUUAAGGAACUCUGCAAAAUAGCACCGUAUCUUCGGUAUAAGGUGUGCCUAACUUUGUAUUAAGAUUCACUCCCAAAGCAAAGAAGGUUACAACAAAGAGUCCCUCCCGACUGUUUACCAUAAACACAGCACUCUGCUAACACGUAAGUGGAUGUAUAGGGUGUGACGCCUGCCCGGUGCUCGAAGGUUAAUUGAUGAUGUUAGCUAUGCGAAGCAUUUGAUCGAAGCCCGAGUAAACGGCGGCCGUAACUAUAACGGUCCUAAGGUAGCGAAAUUCCUUGUCGGUUAAAUACCGACCUGCAUGAAUGGCGUAACGAGAUGGGAGCUGUCUCAAAGAGGGAUCCAGUGAAAUUGUAGUGGAGGUGAAAAUUCCUCCUACCCGCGGCAAGACGGAAAGACCCCGUGGACCUUUACUACAGCUUGACACUGCUAUUUGGAUAAAGAUGCGCAGGAUAGGUGGGAGGCUUUGAUCCAUAGACCCUGGUUUAUGGUGAGCCAUUGUUGAGAUACCACUCUUCUUUAUUCGAGUAGCUAACUAGCCUAAGUUAUCCUUAGGUAGGACAAUGUCUGGUGGGUAGUUUGACUGGGGCGGUCGCCUCCCAAAAUGUAACGGAGGCUUACAAAGGUUGGCUCAGAACGGUUGGAAAUCGUUCGUAGAGUAUAAAGGCAUAAGCCAGCUUAACUGCAAGACAUACACGUCAAGCAGAGACGAAAGUCGGUCUUAGUGAUCCGGUGGUUCUGUGUGGAAGGGCCAUCGCUCAAAGGAUAAAAGGUACCCCGGGGAUAACAGGCUGAUCUCCCCCAAGAGCUCACAUCGACGGGGAGGUUUGGCACCUCGAUGUCGGCUCAUCGCAUCCUGGGGCUGGAGCAGGUCCCAAGGGUAUGGCUGUUCGCCAUUUAAAGCGGUACGCGAGCUGGGUUCAGAACGUCGUGAGACAGUUCGGUCCCUAUCUGCCGUGGGCGUAAGAAGAUUGAGGAGAGUUGACCCUAGUACGAGAGGACCGGGUCGAACUAGCCACUGGUGUACCAGUUGUUCUGCCAAGAGCAUCGCUGGGUAGCUAAGCUAGGAUGAGAUAAGAGCUGAAAGCAUCUAAGCUCGAAGCCAACUCCAAGAUGAAUCUUCUUUUAAGAGCUCUAGUAGACUACUAGUUUGAUAGGCUGGGUGUGUAAUGGAUGAAAGUCCUUUAGCUGACCAGUACUAAUAGCUCGUUUGCUUAUCUUU
rnacentral:rRNA from 1 species